rnacentral:rRNA from 1 species
GACGUAGGAGGCAAGCGUUAUCCGGAUUUACUGGGCGUAAAGGGCAAGUAGGCGGUUGUUCAAGUUGGGCGUGACAGAUCUCGGCUUAACUGAGAAAGGUCGUCCAAUACUGAGCGACUAGAGGGCAGGAGAGGAAAGUGGAACUCCCGAUGUAGCGGUGGAAUGCUCAGAUAUCGGGAAGAACACCAGUGGCGAAGGCGGCUUUCUGGCCUGUACCUGACGCUGAGAAGCGAAAGCUAGGGGAGCGAACGGC